rfam:Triticum aestivum genome assembly, contig: Triticum_aestivum_CS42_TGACv1_scaffold_632274_7DS
CAAAUACUCCCUCCGUCCGGAAAUACUUGUCAUCAAAAUGGAUAAAAGGAAAUGUAUCUAGACGUAUUUUAGUUUUAGAUACAUCUCUUUUUAUCCAUUUNUAUCUAGACGUAUUUUAGUUUUAGAUACAUCUCUUUUUAUCCAUUUUGAUGACAAGUAUUUUCGGACAGAGGGAGUAGAAA